CUCUUCUUCUCCUUCUCGAUUUUUUGUUAGAUCUGAUGUUAUUGUGGAUGUUUAGGACUGUCUAGGAUUCAAUUAGUCUAUGCCUUUUCUCGAUUUUUCUCUUUGUUCGAUUUCACUCUUUGUCUAGGGUUAUAGAUCUUUUGUUUAUGAUUUGUACUUGUUUCUGAUUUUUUUGCAAGAGCUAAACCAUCGAAGGGUACCUCCUGGAGCUGUACCAAAUGGAACUGUACCACCAGGAGCCACUCCAUCUCCAAGCGCUACGUCGUCACAUGCAAACAACUGCAGCCAAAGAACUCUUGAUGCAUUGCUGAGUGCUCCUGAAAGAGAAUCCCAGCCACACCUGCACCCAAGGAAGCUUAAUGGAGCUUUAUGGUUUGGUAUUGACCCCUCUGUCUACAAAUUCAUUCG